GUCCACGCCUAACGAUGGAUACUAGGUGUGGCGGUUCAACCCGUCCGUGCCGAAGCCAACGCGUUAAGUAUCCCGCCUGGGACUACGGCCGCAAGGUUAACUCAAGGAAUUGACGGGCCCGCACAAGCAGCGGAGCGUGUGGUUCAAUUCGAUGCGACACGAAGAACCUUACCUAGGCUUGACAUGCAAGUGGUAGUGAAGCGAAAGCGGAACGACCCGCAAGGGAGCUUGCACAGGUGUUGCAUGGCUGUCGU
rnacentral:rRNA from 1 species